rnacentral:rRNA from 1 species
UACGAAGGUGGCAAGCGUUACUCGGAAUUACUAGGCGUAAAGGGCAGGUAGGUGGUUUGGUUAGUCUGUUGUGAAAGCUCCCGGCUUAACUGGGAGAGGUCAACGGAUACUGCCAGACUUGAGUAUAGGAGAGGUUACUGGAAUUCCCGGUGUAGCGGUGAAAUGCGCAGAGAUCGGGAGGAACACCAAUGGCGAAAGCAGGUAACUGGACUAUUACUGACACUCAACUGCGAAAGCUAGGGGAGCAAACAGG